UGCAAGUCGAGCGGAUGAGGGGAGCUUGCUCCCGGAUUCAGCGGCGGACGGGUGAGUAAUGCCUACGAAUCUGCCUGGUAGUGGGGGACAAGGUCUUAAAAGGGACGCUCAUACCGCAUACGUCCUACGGGAAAAUGCAAGGGACCUUCGGGCCUUGCGCUAUCACAUGAGCCUAGGUCGGAUUAGCUGUUGGUGAGGCAAUGGCUCACCAAGGCGACGAUCCGGACUGGUCUGCAGGAUGAUGGAAACGAUGGAACUGAGACACUCCCCGACUCCUACGGGAGGCAAAUAUUGGGGAAUAUUGCGCAAUGUCGAAAGCCUGAUCCAGCCGUGCCGCGUGUGUGAAGAAGGUCUUCGGA
rnacentral:rRNA from 1 species